rnacentral:rRNA from 1 species
GGCACUGGAAGGUCCNUAAACCGAAAGGGGCUCUGCCCGCCCGAGGAUGGGCCGGCGGCCGAUUAGGUAGUUGGUGGGGUAACGGCCCACCAAGCCCAUAAUCGGUACGGGCAGUGAGAGCUGGAGCCCGGAGAUGGACACUGAGACACGGGUCCAGGCCCUACGGGGCGCAGCAGGCGCGAAACCUCCGCAAUGCUCGAAAGAGCGACGGGGGGACCCCAAGUGCCGUGGUACAACCACGGCUUUUCCGGAGUGUAAGAAGCUCCGGGAAUAAGGGCUGGGCAAGGCCGGUGGCAGCCGCCGCGGUAAUACCGGCGGCCCGAGUGGUGGCCACUAUUAUUGGGCCUAAAGCGUCCGUAGCCGGGCUUGUAAGUCCCUGGCGAAAUCCCACGGCUCAACCGUGGGGCUUGCUGGGGAUACUGCAAGCCUUGGGACCGGGAGAGGCCGGGGGUACUCCUGGGGUAGGGGUGAAAUCCUAUAAUCCCAGGAGGACCGCCAGUGGCGAAGGCGCCCGGCUGGAACGGGUCCGACGGUGAGGGACGAAGGCCAGGGGAGCAAACCGGAUUAGAUACCCGGGUAGUCCUGGCUGUAAAGGAUGCGGGCUAGGUGUUGCUUGGACCUCGAGUCCAAGCAGUGCCGCA